rnacentral:lncRNA from 1 species
UGGGGGCGGGGGCGGGAAGGCCCGGAGGAAGGGGCUGCACGCCUGUGCCCGGGUGGCGUCUGGGGACCAGCCUGCAGCGGGCACCGUGCGCCUCGUCUCUGUGAUCUCGGAGGAGCCCGGACGUGCCGUCCCCUUCGUGCGGGGACUCUCUGCUCCUCCUGUGGCUGCGCCUCUUUGCUUGCAGAGCCAAGCUGCUGGCGGGGUGUAUGUGCAUUGAGCCAGAGCUGCAGAAUGGGGUCCCCCCGGCCACCCUCUGCCCCUCACCGUGGGGGGCUCCGUGUCCCGGUGCAGAGCGGUGUCCGGCCUUGGAGCCGCUGGGCCUGCGCUCACCUUGGCGGCUCCGGGCCAGUACCACAGACCGGCCCUUAGUCCCGCGUGGUAGGUAGCGCCCUGGCUGCCUGUUCCAGCAGCGGAGGUGAGAGAUUUAAGGGAAUAUUUUAAUCUGAAAUCUUAGCAGCACGGGCACGAGAGUGGCGUGGUGGCCGGGGCUGCAGCCGACGUAUUUAUGGUCCGGGGCUGACCAUCCAACGCCUGAGUUCUGGUCGUCCCUUCCGACGGAGAGCUCAUCACUCUCCCUGUUUAUGAUUUCAAUUCCUGUCCUUCCAUGGGGUUGCGGUGAAUUAGCUCAGUGCCAUUUUCUAAAAUAUCAAGCAUUUUUAUACAUUAGGUAUAGUGAAUGGCAAAUACUUGAUGUAAAGUCUGCAGUUUUACUCCAUAACCAGAUUGUAAAAUAUGAACUGAAUUAAUCAUAACUGCGAAGACUAAUGGUACGUUUUCUCUUAUUUUAUCUUUAGUGCCUUUCAGAUCAUGUUUUAAAACCUUCCACGCCUGGCGUUGGGAACGCAGCCGCGGCUUGGUGGUGGAUAGCAAGAGGCAAAGGCAUAGCUCUGUACGCCUGGUAGAGAGCGCAGAGGAUGAGCCCGGAAAGAUGCAGCUCAGAGGAUGAGCCCGGAAAGAUGCGCUUCGAUUGUAGGAGCUGGGGCAGGAAGGGCCCGCUGCCCUCGCCCGGGAGCCUAGCCUUGCGGGUGCCUGGACUUCGCGGCCCUGCAUCCCCCCUGCCGUCCCCACACUGCAAAGACCACAAGCUUCUGAGGGGAGGAACCAGCCAUUCGAAUUUUCUCAGGUUCCUCCUCCCCCUCCGCCACCGGGGCUUACGAAAUGCAUCUCGAGACUCCUGCAGAAACAGAAACACCAACCCUGAGGAAGAGGACAGUCAAUGUACUAGGAUCCUAGUGGGUCAUGAGGACACCAGGGAAAUCCGGACUUUGACAUUCAAAAUGUAUCUCCAGGGCCGCCUGGGGGGCUCAGUGGUUGAGCACCUGCCUUCAGCCCAGGGCGUGACCCCGGGGUCCCAGGAUCGAGUCCUGCAUUGGGCUCCCCGCAUGGAGCCUGCUUCUCCUCCCUCUGCCUCUGUCUCUGCCUCUCUCUGUGCAUCUUUCAUGAAUAAAUAAAUAAAAUCUUAAAAAAAAAAAACCCUGUAUCUCCAAACCAUUAUCCACUCCAGGACGAGGCAGAGGAAAACAAUCAGGGCAUAACAACCAAACCAUGAUGAUAAACGCACACGGUGAACCCCGGUCCUCUUGGCCGGGAUCUGGACUCGUUCCAUUUGGGUCGGAGGGAGUAAGUCCCAGGGUAGGUGCAUCUUACCUGGAAUGCCCCGAGCGGCCACAGGGCAGCCUGCCUCCUCCUGUGUGUUUUAUCCCCUCGGGGAUGCUUGCUU